UACGGAGGAUGCGAGCGUUAUCCGGAUUUAUUGGGUUUAAAGGGUGCGCAGGCGGUCUGUUAAGUCAGCGGUCAAAGCCCGGGGCUCAACCCCGGCCCGCCGUUGAAACUGGCAGCCUCGAGUGCGGUAGGGGUAAGCGGAAUUCCCGGUGUAGCGGUGGAAUGCGCAGAUAUCGGGAAGAACACCGAUGGCGAAGGCAGCUUACUGGGCCGACACUGACGCUGAGGCGCGAAAGCUAGGGGAGCGAACAGG
rnacentral:rRNA from 1 species